AUUCAAUAUUUCGCCAAGCGUAAAAUGAGUCUGCUUAAAUAGAAGAGUUACUUUUUACAAGUAAAAACAUCCAUGUAAGAUAUAAAUUUAACAGCUUUCAGCAGUGAUCUAAUCCAAACUAAUUAACCACUUGGGGCCAUCAAAAUGCCUUUUUACUGCUACACAGCGGGCAUUUUGGUGACCGUUAAAUGCCAUUAACCAGACGAUGCCGCGGCAUUGGCAGUGGCAUUGUUGUUGACCGCUUGCCGCUUGCCGCAAGAAAAUGAAGCAGGUGGGCAAUUGUCAAUUUUCCUGCUUGCUGGCCACCGAAGGAUGGGGAGCGAGUGCGAGCGAGACGGCGGCAGCCCCAACAAAGAAAACAAUCAAUGCGGUGGAAAACUAAAUAUAUAUUCAGCAGGAAUAACGAAUAAAACAUACCCUGGCUUCAUUUGUUAUAAA